UCAAUUUUUAUUUGGCAUGCUUUCGAAAUUUUGUAAUAGCAUGUAACUUGCCAACUUGAUAUCUUUGGUUUAAAUUGUAUUUGGAGAGCAUUAUGUGAUAUAUUAUCUGAAGUGUAUUGGGUAGUUGUCACUGAUUUGGCUUAGUUAUAAGUUAAUGAAUUGACUAGUUUCUAUUGAUAUUGGGAUGUAAUUCUAAUUAAUUUUCAUUGAGAUGAGAUGAUUAGAGUAUCCACAACCUACCUUACGGGUAUGGGAGAGAUUGCUCCCCCCAAUGAUUUCAAGUGUAUUUUUGUGGGUUAAAGGGGUCAUUCAUAUAAGAAACCCCAAAAUCUCUUUUCCAAUUGCUGUUGAUGGUGGUUUCAUACCCGUCAUAUCCCCCUAUAAGGAUGAGGUUGGGACGUGAUUAGUUUUGCUUGUCCUUGCUUGACCAAACAACACAUUUCCUAUAAGGCAUAAUGAAGAAGAAGGUAGCUUUCUAUUCCUUUUUUUUGUUUCUUUUUGAAUGUAUGUAUCUAAGCUUUUAGCAUAGUUGAAUAGAAACACUUGGAUUUUGGGAGAAUUCAUAUACACCUAUGUAUAAGUAAGUUCCCAUCGAAUCUAACAUACCACGAUGCUAUGCUACAAGUGAAAUAACCAAUUUCUAAUGAAUGUUGGUUCAAUUAUUAAAAAGUUGAAUACUAGGUUGCAAGAGUAUGAGUUCAACUUUCACCGUGGUACAAUUAUUUUUGUGUGAAUGAUAUAGAAAUAAUAAUACCUCUAUUUUAUUUGAACUUUUGAAUAAAAAUAGUGGUUGAUAGAAAGUUUUAUUUUCUUAUCAUAGAUUAUGGAUUGUAACCAAAAAAAAUCAUAGAUUAUGGAAAACAGUUAGUUCUUUUUCUUUCCUUUUUGUACCUAUUCGUCUCAAAAUAAGUUAUUUAAUUUGACUAUGUGUAUUAUUCACAUGACAUAUUCUGAUUAUUUUUCAACAUAAAAAAAUGAAAAUUUGGGUGGAAAACAAUUAAAAUAUCCCGAACCAUUAAUAAUUUGGUGGAAAACAAAUAAAAUAUCCUCAGAAGCUGAUUAUGGCUUCACCGUUGUAUUGUUCAUGUGAAAAAUGACAUUAGAAUUAGAAUUUAGAAAUUUUCAAAGUAUAAUCACUUAUCGCAAAUUUACAAAAUUUAUAUGCUCCCUGAUAACAUAGAUUUAUAUGCUCCCUGAUAACAUAGUUAAAAAUAAAUAAAUUACUCAAAACUGAAGUAUCACAAGUAUAAAAAAAGCAGAAACAACAAGUAGAACAUGAAAUGAAACAUAAAGAAGGAAGAAGAAAAGCAACGGUAUGAAAUAGAAGCAGAUUAUCAACAAAAUGAAAGAGAAGCAAGAACAGGGAGAGGAAGAAGUAAAGACAGUAAGAAUCGAAAUAAAAUUAAAAAUGAGCAAUCCUUUUUUUUUCUUCUUCUUGGAAACUUACAUUGAAAUAUGGCAAUGAGAAUUUAUAAGUUGUAAUGCAUUUAGAUUAGGCUUUAGAGCAAUAAUAUUUGUCUACAUCACAAUAGGUAAUAUUUGCUUGCCGUCUUGAACAUGUUUUGGAGGUUCAACCGAAUAAAAAUGUCAUUUUUGAGAGGCAUCAGUUAUUUUGACUCUUUGCACACAAUUAAAUCUUAAGUAUUGUUUAAAAGAAAACAAAGUUUUAGUUUUUUUUUUACAUGAAAUAAUUUUUUUUUUUAAAAAAACUAAGUCCUAAUAAAGGACACUUCAAUAAUAACCUAAUUGGAUUGGCUUGUGGUAGUGGUUUGGGAUCUUAUAGUGUAUCCCUCUCAAGGUCAUAGGUUUGAUGUUCUUCGUUAUCAAAUUCGAUGGUCUAGUUUGACUUUUAAAAAUAAAAAUAUUUUUAUAAUUUUUUUGUUGUUGAAGGAAUCUAUAUCUAUACUAUACAUAAAGAAAACUAUCCCUUUCAGCACUUUUGGGUUGAAUUUUUCUUUUCAAAAAUACCCUCAAUUUUCAAUACAAAAUAACACAUGUAACAAAUAGAUAAGAAUAAAUUUAAAUAUUAAAACAAAUGCAACAAACAUUUGUUUUUAUAACUUGUAUUAUUGUCGGUGCCGUUGACACAGAUAAUCAUGGUCAGUUUAAUUUUUUAUAACUUGAAAUCAACAAACAUUUACAUUUUUAUUAGUUUUAAUCAAAAUCGAAAUUUCAUAAAAAAAAACAAGGUUCAUAAUUUUCAAACGUUAACGGCGCAAUAAAAACAGUGGAAAGACGGGCACAUGAGCGCCCGUCUUUUCGCUAGUUUUUAUAAAGUAAAUGUAACCUAAUUAACUUGUUAUUUUUCCUUUAGUAAAAAAAAAAAAGUUGAUGAUGUUCCUUUUUGUCCAAAAGUAUUUAUAUUUAAAUCAAUUCCCAUUUUCUUUGUUUUUCCCGAAUUUUUUUUACUCAAAUAAAUUUCCAUUUAACUGAGUAAUUAGUAUUGAACAUUUCUUCAAAAUAAAAAAACUAAUGUAUUGAACAUGUUAAAUAGCUAGAAAAAUAAAGAAGACUAUCAUUAGGGAAAUGUUAAAUGUACUGAACAUUUUUCUUUUUGGUGUUUGAUGUACUCAACAUUCGAAGAUGCAAGGAUUCAAUUGUCACUUUCAACAAGACUUAACAACACUAAUAUUUAUUCUUUUUAAAAAAGCAUCUUGCAAGGCCGAUGAUUUAACUUUUAAAAAAGAAAAUAGAGAAAGAGAGUUUUCUUUAUUGAUUAAAAUGACAUUAAUUGUCAUUUUAUAAAUGUCUGCGAGUUGGAACUUAAUUUCUCGAGUUAUAAGACUAAACUCUUUCCUUCAAAAAAAAAAAAAAAAAGACUAAACUCUUAUAUUUAGCUAACACAUCAAGUGAGAAAUAAAUGUUUAUUAGAUGUUAGAUUAAUGUUAUUACUUUUACACAUAGCAAGACAAUAAAAAAUGUUAUUACUUUUUAUACAAUAGUGUAUAAUUUUACCAUAAUGAUCUUAUUAAUUUAAUAUCUUCUUUCAUAUACUUCUCUCUCCACAAUAAAUAAUUAAGAGUAAUAUUGAUAAAACAACAUUUAAUAUUGUAUUGAUCUUUAAAAGUGACAGUUAAAUUGAGACAAAUUUUUUCUCCAAAAGAGACUUAAAAAGGAACCUAACUUUACAGAGAUAAAAUUUGACUUAACUUUAAGUGAUGGAAUAUAACCUAUCUGUCUUCGUGCAUGACACUCCACUAAUUAAUAUAUCAUGUCUUCUUCACUUAGUUAUUCUUGGUGUGAAUACUAUGUUGUUGCUGGUGACUGCAUGGAUUUGAAGGGAACACAUAUCCCAUUAUAUAUGUUUGCUGAAGGAAAUAUUUGAGAAUCAUAACACCAAAGCCUUAAAAUUGGAAAGUGUAGUUGGAAGUGAGGCUGAGAGAAAUGACCACCAAACUUAUUGCAUAAAUGUGUUGAUCCGGUGUUUCUAGAGCCCCUAUGGAACCUUAGUACACUUAAUGGGUUGCUACGACGCUAGCAUUUCUAUAUCACUAUUUGGCUAAUUAAGACUACUAUAUAUUCUUCGAUAGGGUUGAUGAUAGGUGGAUGUUGUACCCUUCUGCGGGUAAUUAUUUGUACUUUAAUAGGUGUUUGUGUUUGUAAUAUGUGUUUCUAUUUGUGUUUGUUUUUCAGACCUGUACUAUGGAGUAUUUCAUUUGUAUAUAUCCUAUGAUAUCCACCUCAACUAUUACGCCACGUGGUUCGCGGUUCAUUCCUGACAAAGAUCAUAAACUAUCAGACAACUACAUGACCUAUUUUUAUCGCCUAGAGGUCGACAACAUGAUCUUUAACUCCAAUUAUAAACAUCGUCAGACAUGUCUAUUCGAUGAAAUUUGUUGGAACUCCAGUUGGAUAAAGUGCGACCGCAAGAUGGUUUAUCAGGAGGGCUAGGACUAUUUGCUUGGAUGAGAUGAAAAAUAAUACUUCAUAUGACGACCUACAUGAUACUCUGAAUCGGAUUGCAGAUGAAAUGAAAUCGGCUACUCAAUAUCUAAUUGCACUAAGGAGGGAGCGUUUGUUUUUUAUUUUAUUUUAUAUUUUUUUUUGUUUCAUGUGAAUGAUGUAUGAUGUUGUUGCAAUAAAAAUAUGUUUUUGUUCCGGUGUAAAUUUUUAAUUCAAGCUAACAAGAGUUUAAAGGAAAGAAAGUACAAGACAUCAUCAUAAUGCUUACUAAUCAAUCAUGAUUGCCUCAAAUCUUUCAGGUCAAAUGAUAUACGAUUCUCAGACAUAAUACUUAUCAUUCUA
rnacentral:lncRNA from 1 species